AUCAACUCUGGCUCCUGCAUAACAGGGCAAGCACUGAAUGAGAUUGAGUUACGGCAUAAGGACAUUCUCUAUCUGGAGGCCAGCAUUCGAGAGCUGCAUAGCAUGUUUAUGGAUAUAGCCAUGUUAGUCAAUAGCCAGGGUGAAAUGGCAAACAACAUAGCAAAGACUGUGAUGCAAGCUGGAAACUAUGUAGAUCAAGGGAAAGAGAACAUAGAAAAAGCUACUGAAUACAAGAAGUCCUGGCGGCUAAGACUGCCUAUAUUCAAGAACAAAGCAAAAGCAGCGACCAGCAAGGGCUCUUGAAUGAAUCUCGAACUUUGGAAUGUAUGUUGCUUGCUUUUGAGUUCUGUGAAAAUGAGGAAUUCAUACACCUUGCCUUUUCUUGAAAAAUCCCAUCGUGUCACAGUACUUAAUCUACGCCCUGUAUCUAUUGCUGAUCAGAUCAUUUUGAGUUGUCUUUGGGAUUUCCUCAGCCCAUAUACAAACAAACUGCUUUUAUUUGUUUCUGCUUAAAUGGUUAAUGAUUAAGCUUGCUCUCAGAUAAACAGCACUAGCAGGAUUUUUCUGAUGCAAUAUGACAACAGUCAAGUGUCAAGAGGUGUGUUUACAUGGACUAAUGUUCCUCAUUAGAAACAUUUAUGCUAUAUACAUGCAAAACAUGCUUAAUUUAUUCUUG